rnacentral:lncRNA from 1 species
UUGACUUUUUCAGUCUUAAAUUUAGAAUAACUUUUAAAUACGAUCAGUAUAGUUUCGCACUUUCUCGCUUUAGUACUCUAUGAUUUUAAAUUAUAUCAAAGUUAAGGCGCGUUUGGUUAGAAGUUGGAAUCGGAAUCAGAAUCGGAAUUGAAAUAAGCUGGAAUCGGAAUCGAAAUGACUCAUUACCUAAUUUUGUUUGAUUCGUUACCUGAAUCAGAACUGGAAUAAAUCAUUCCCAUUGUCGGUGUUUGGUUAAGGUAGAUAUAAAAAAUAUAAUCAAAUUAAUAUACUAAAUUUAUCUUUAUAAUAAAUUAAUUUAAAUUCAAACUGAAAAUUAAAUAUUACAAAUUUAUAUCAAAAUUUUGAAAUAAUGUCAAAAUUUU